GGAUAGUCCGUGUCAACGUGUGCUGUUGGUGGGUGGUGGAAUGUGAAAUAAGGUUGACGUGCAUGUACACAGGCCUACAUACAUCCCAUACAACUUUCACCAUGGACUCGACAAAGAUGAAGACACCACACAUCCUGUGUACAUCGAAAUGGAUGAACAAUCGGCACAUGUGUCUACAGAGUUUAAAGGAGUUGCAGAAGGCGAGGUAGUUUCUGUUGUUGAUGAUGUAACAACAGCAGUCGCGUGCUACAUUUCCUCGUUUUUUGUAUUUCACCUGCAGUACAUCCCAGAACUAGUGAAGACAAUUGCUUUUUAUCAAUAUGGUGUUCUUAAGAUUGACGACCAGACUGGUAUUCAUAAGUCAGUUUUAAGCCUACUGGCACGUUUAACUUAGAAAAGGUCACUUUCCAAGAAAAUGUAAAAAAAAAACUUGAUACGACCCAACAUGCACGUAAAAUAGCAAACAUGUGAAAGUUUAAGCUCAAUAAGACUUAUGCGUUUUA